GUAGGGAAUAUUGGGCAAUGGAUGCAAGUCUGACCCAGCCAUCCCGCGUGCCGGAAGAAGGCCCUCAGGGUUGUAAACGGCUUUUGACGGUGAAGAACCGACAGGAUGCGUCCUGUUUUGACGGUAGCCGUUGAAUAAGCACCGGCUAACUCCUUGCCAGCAGCCGCGGUAAUACGGAGGGUGCGAGCGUCGUCCGGACUUAUUUGGAUUAAAGGGUGCGUAGGCUGGAAGGUCAGUCAGCGGUGAAAAGCUAUCGCUUAACGAUAGUCUUGCCGCAGAUACUUCCUUUCUUGGAUGAGGAGGAGGCCACUGGAACGGAUGGUGUAGCGGUGAAAUGCAUAGAUAUCAUCCAGAACACCGAUUGCGAAGGCAGGUGGCUGUACCUUAAUCGACGCUGAUGCACGAAAGCAUGGGGAGCAAACAGGAUUAGAAACCCUGGUAGUCC
rnacentral:rRNA from 1 species